ACAAACAUGACUUUCAGCAUCAUCUUGAUCUGGACUCUGGCAGUGUUUUGUCAAGAAUCCAUCGGGCAGGUGACAGUGACUCAAACUCCUUCACAGCUGCUCGCCAACACAGGAGAAGAAGUUAAAAUAAAGUGUACAACUAACAGGAACACUGCCUGCUGUUGUGGUGGUACAACAUGUCUUAGCUGGUAUCUACAAAAACCUGGAGAAGCUCCUAAACUCCUCAUUUAUGGAGCAGAUCAACGGCAGUCAGGAACUCCAUCUAGAUUCAGUGGAAGUGGAUCUGGAAGUGAUUUCUCUCUGACCAUCAGUGGAGUCCAGACUGAAGAUACAGGAGAUUAUUACUGUAUGAGUGUACACUAUAUCAGUGGUACUUAUGUGUUCACACAGUGA